rnacentral:rRNA from 1 species
UAGGGAAUCUUUCUUAUGGACGAAAGUCUGAUGGAGCAACGCCGCGUGAGUGAAGAAGGCUUUCGGGUCGUAAAACUCUGUUGUUGGAGAAGAAUGGUCGGCAGAGUAACUGUUGUCGGCAGCAGCCGCGGUAAUACGUAGGUG